AUGCUCUGUAACCCAAAGCUCCGGCGCCCUAGGAUGGGUCUGCGGCCGAUUAGGUUGUUGUCGGGGUAACGGCCCAACAAGCCGAUCAUCGGUACGGGUUGUGGGAGCAAGAGCCCGGAGAUGGAUUCUGAGACACGAAUCCAGGCCCUACGGGGCGCAGCAGGCGCGAAAACUUUACAAUGCGGGAAACCGUGAUAAGGGGACCCCGAGUGCCUGUACACGCAGGCUGUUCAGGUGUUUAAAACGCAUCUGGAGAAAGGGCCGGGCAAGACCGGUGCCAGCCGCCGCGGUAAUACCGGCGGCUCGAGUGGUGGCCACUAUUACUGGGCUUAAAGCGUCCGUAGCCGGGUCGUUAAGUCUCCCGGGAAAUCCAACGGCUUAACCGUUGGGCGUUCGGGGGAUACUGGCGAUCUAGGGAUCGGGGGAGGUGAGAGGUACUCUAGGGGUAGGAGUGAAAUCCUGUAAUCCUUGGGGGACCACCUGUGGCGAAGGCGUCUCACCAGAACGACUCCGACGGUGAGGGACGAAAGCUGGGGGAGCAAACCGGAUUAGAUACCCGGGUAGUCCCAGCUGUAAACGAUGCGCGUUAGGUGUAUCGGUGACUACGAGUUACCGAGGUGCCGAAGGGAAACCGUGA
rnacentral:rRNA from 1 species